AGUCACUGACAUUAGAUACCCCUGUAGUCCCAGCCGUAAACUAUGCGCGUUAGGUGUAUCGGUGACCACGAGUUACCGAGGUGCCGAGGGAAACCGUGAAACGUGCCGCCUGGGAAGUACGGUCGCAAGGCUGAACUUAAGGAAUUGCGGGGAGCACCACAACAGGUGGAGCCUGCGGUUUAAUUGGACUCAACGCCGGGAAGCUCACCGGAUAGGACAGCAGAAUGAUUGCCGGGCUGAAGACCCUGCAUGACUAGCUG
rnacentral:rRNA from 1 species